CAUUUUACAUCUUUCACUCUUUCUCAGCCCAAAGGGAAGUCCCUUUCUUCUCUGACUCCAAACCAGAAGAGGUUUAGAGGGCUUGCUUCAUGUGCCAGGCCAUGGAACUGGGUGCUGAACAACCCCAAACGGAAGAUGCUCGGGACAGACGGAAACCCUUUUAGGAUAUCUUCCUGAAAGAAUUAAAGACAUCAUAUUACAGUGAUCCAUGCACACUCACGGUGCCUAAACCUUGGAAGUGGCUGCAGGGGGCCACUAGCAGAAGUGUCAAAG
rnacentral:lncRNA from 1 species